CCUCCCAUCCCCCCUGCUGUCCACCUUCAAAACACCAGGGCCCCCCCUUAUUCUUGCCUCACCCACACAGGGUCUCUACUCAUGGACGUGCUGCAGUUAGCAGAAGAGCCGGAGCCACAGGCUGGGCAGGAGCUGAGGGUGUGGCCUCCAGGGGCCCAGGAGCCCUGUACCGUGAGGCCAGCCCAGGUGGAGCCACUACUGCGGCUCUGCCUCCAGCAGGGACAGCUGUGUGAGCCGCUCCCAUCCCUGGCAGAGUCUAGAGCCUUGGCCCAGCUGUCCCUGAGCCAACUCAGCCCUGAGCACAGGCGGCUGCGGAGCCCUGCACAGUACCAGGUGGUGCUGUCCGAGAGGCUGCAGGCCCUGGUGAACAGUCUGCGUGCAGGGCCGUCCCCCUGAGACUCGGAGUGGGGCUGCCUGGAAAUAACACGAAUCACUCACUUUUCCCCAC
rnacentral:sRNA from 1 species